CGUGAGGCUUGGUCAGGUCUUGACCUACCCAUGUAACGCCUGGCAUCUGGAGCAUGCUGCCAUCCCUGGGCUAAGGUAGAUGUCCACCCUCAGGCUCACGUGUGGUUCCCUUGCUUCUGCCUGGCCCAGAUACCUCUAUCUGGCAACUCCACCAUCCCUGUUUCCCCUACCGUGCUCACACUUACUCCUGCCAAUAUAUUUCAUCUCCUGCUCCUUCUCCUCCAGGCGCCUUGCUGAGCACACAGGUGUUUCUGGACCCUUUUUCGAGUCUGGUUUUUCUGCAAGCCGAGUCUAGAUCUUUGGCACCAAUGGCGGCUGCCUCAGGCCCCCUCGGAGGUGAGCUGCGGUAAGCCUCCUGCUUCUAGAAUAUCCAUCUGCAGUUGCCAUUCCAUGAUACCCUGGCAUCUAAGAAGGAGUUUAGGAUCUUGCCUACCAUCUUUAGCUAUUACUUUAAGGGGAGAGGAUAUGUGCUCUGAAUUCCAACAGCCACCCAUCCAUCGUAUAGGGUUUCUGGAGCACCUCCCUCUCCACUGGUCCCCUAAGCCUUUCUCCACAAGACCCUGCAGCAGGAUGGAUUCUCUUGGAUCUUUCCAACGUGGUGCUGGAUUCAAUUCAGACUAA
rnacentral:lncRNA from 1 species